GCAGUCGUGGCCGAGUGGUUAAGGCGAUGGACUAGAAGUAUAUUGGGGUCUCCCCACACAGGUUCGAAUCCUGUCGACUGCG
rnacentral:tRNA from 2 species